AAAGCCUCUGCCCACCCCCACCUCAGGGGCCAGUGUGAGCCCUGGAGGAGGACCCCAAGACUCCCACACUCCGCAGCUCCGCAAGAGGCCUCAGCUCGCGGGAAGGCAGCCAGGCCUGCCCUUGCGGGAACCUGCGUCCUUGAGACUCAGCCAAACCUCUCCCGGCUUGGCGACGGGUGUUGAGGUGACAUUCUUCUCCCUGCCACUCAGCAUCUUUUACACAGCCCUCCUCCUCCACCUUGGGGAGAAUACGCCUGAACUCACCGCAGACUGGAAGCUGAAAAUGCCCCCUUUCGAAACCUCUUGGCCUGCAAAAACCAAAAAUGGGAUGGGGCGCCUGCGAGCUCAGCCAGACCAAGAUCUUCCGCUACCCUGGGGUAGAAACCCGGCAGUCUGUGGAGCUCAGCAGACUACGCGAUGUGAGCCGUGUGACAGUCCGGUCCGGCACCGCACAGCCAGCCCCGCUCUGGCCCGGAGGGUUCGGGAUAAUCGCUGCUCCCCUUGCUGGGUCGUCUGUGCUGUCACCGGCACCGCUGCCACUGUGGACAUCUUUGACAGGCACGUCCUUGACGUUGAAGCCCACAGUGUCCCCGGGAAGAGCUUCACCCAAAGCCUCACGGUGCGUUUCAUCAGAGUUACUUCAGUGGUGACCCUGACCGCGGCGAAGAGGACCGCCGGGCCGGGUUUGGGAACACCAGGCUCCACUUGGCCCACAGGUACCAGUACCACCAGUUUUAGAGACGUCCUGGAGGGGCAGCACAAAGGCUUGUGAGUUGGGCGAGUGGUGGCAGGAUGCAGUCCAAAAGCUUCAAGCAGUGUGGCCCCACCGGCGCCGCCACCUUCAUGAGUGACCUUCCAUCCGCGUUAGCACUUGGCUGUAGCGCGGUGUCGCCAUUUCGACCAGAAAUUGGCACAGAAGCUACUGUCAGGGUUGUGGCCGAUUUCCUUAACGUAGGCGUUGACUUCCUGAACAGUUUCCUCAUAUCUCUUCCGGCCGAAGAGCGGCUCCGUGGAAUCCAUUUGUUAACACCAACAAUGACUUGUUUCACACCAGUGUGCCAGCCAGAAGGGCUUGCUCUCAGGUCGGCCCAUCCUUGGCGACACCGGCUUGGAAUUCCCCAACAAUCUGGACGGCACAGUCAGCCUGAGAUGCGCCUGUGGUCGUGUCUGUGACAAAGUCCCUGUGUCCUGAGGCGGCUGUGAUAGUCACACAAUACUUGCUGGUCUCCAAUUUCCUCGGCUUUCAGUGUAUCCAAGACCCAGGUGCUAGAAGGAAUCUUCGCUGGCUCAGCAGCCACCUCCUCAAACUCUUCGGUGGUUCUCUUGUCAGGGUCACCAAAGCUUCAGAUCAGAUGGCCGAGCCCACGUGUCCAAGGACGAAGAUCUUGAUGUGAAUCUUCUGUUUCUUCUCCGUGUUGGCUUUGAUUUAGGGCGUGGUUUUCACGACACCUGUGCUCUUGUGGCCAACCCAUUGCAAAAAAAAGAAAAGUAAAAAUUUUUAUAGGAGCAAUAGAAUAUCUUAUUUAUCUAUUUAUUUUGGGGUACCGGGGAUCGAACUCGGGUCCUUGCACUUGCGAAGCAGGCAGCAGAAUCACUGAGCUAAAUAUAAUAUCUUUUUUAGAAAAGGGUUUUUAAGCAAUGAAGCACGGCCAAGAAAAACAAGACCCAUUCAAAUUCCCACCACACCUCCCCACAACUCCCAAGAUACAGCAACCGUGAAUGCCUUCGUGUAUGACUUUCCAGGUAAUUUUCAAUAAAAUUAACUCCACCAUCAAAAGAAUAACCCUGCUGUAACACGGACUUACCUCUCAUUUUUAAACCUAGCGUUGGAACUGUAUGUUUCUGUUUGCAUUAUUGUAUACUAUCCAACUGGAACCAACUUUGUUUUUUUCUGAUGUGUAACACAUGCAAUCGAUACAGAGAAAUAAGGGUCCCUCGUAAUUUUCCUUCCUGAAGAUAACCACUGUUAUUUUAAAAGAUCUUUCAAGUUCUUAGGUAUACAUAAACACACACAUUUCCAGAGACAGAAUCCUGACAUAGGUGUGCUAUGACUCACUUCUUUCUUUUAUCAUUGGAUGAUGAAUACAUUUCCACAUGAAUACAUAUACUGUAUGAUCAUCUUUCUUAAGGGCUUCAUGGAAUUCUAUUCUAUGAAUGAAUAUAUCCUCAUGUGUAUAACCAACCACUUAUCUUUGGAAGUGGUUUCCACUCUUCUACCACGUAAAAACUGCACUAAAUGUCAUUGCCUAUACAUUUUUGUCACAUCUGUGAUUACUUCUUUAGAAAAAAAAGUCCCUAAAAGGGAAAUGGCAGAGAAAAAAAUAGGAUUCACCUUUAAAAAUUUUGCAUCAUAUGAAUAGAGGGCUCUGUAAAAAUUGUACCAACUUACAUUUCACAGACACCUAAGAGAUAAACUAAUUUCCACACCACUUCAGCAGUGGGCAUCAUUUUUCUUAUCUUUGCCAGUAACAGAGCUGAAAAAUGAUAUUUCAUUGCGGUGUUACCCUGUGUCUUUGAUGAUUAGUGAGCCUGAGGUAUGUCUUUAUAUCUAUAAAUGCCAUUUGACUUUAACUUCUGAGUUACCUACUUAGGUUCUUUGCCUGUUUUAUUAAAGUAUUCUUUUUGUUUGAUCACUUUAUAAAUUAGGGCUAUCAACUUUGACAUCGUUGUUCAAAUUUUUUUUCACUUAGAUCAUUACAUUUUUUGCCAAUGAAAUGAAUUUUAUUUUUAUAUAUUUGUGUCAGCUGAGAUAACAGAAAGUCAAGUUAACAGGGUUCAACCCAUAAAAUAUCAACACCUUAAUUAACCUGAAAUCUGGAGGUAGGUGGUGCCAGGAUUAGUUUGCUGAUACUCAGUUAACAUCAGCCUCCUUGUGUCUCUCUUUCUCUCUUUUUUGGAGUCGGGGUCUCCCUGUGUAGUUCAGGCUGGCCUUGAACUCACUAUGUAGCUCAGACUGGUCUUGAACUCUCUGAAAUCCUCCUGCCUCAGCCUCCUGAGUGUGAUACCACACCCGAUCUCUUCGUGUCUUCCAGACUGACCAUUCACUGUGUGUGGAGUGCCUCCCUUUGUAAGACACAAAGCUGCUACAUUCCCAAGUAAUAUAUUGUACUCCAUUUAGGAAGAAUGAGGACAAAAAAUUAAAAGGACAUGUACAAAUUUUUUUUUUAAUCUUACAAAUCUAUUCUUUUCAUCAGGAAGGAAAAUUUUUCCCAGAAGGCCCUAGCAGAUUGCACUUACAUCUCGCUGGCAAUGAGUGAGUGGUACCUGCCAAAGUAGUGAUGCCUGUCAAUCAUUUCUGUGUGUUUGUUUGUUUUGAUUGUUUUUUUAGACAAAAUCUCACUAUGUAGCCCAGGCUGGCCUCAAACUCUCAGUGAUUCUCCUGCCUCAGCCUCCUGACUGCUGGGAUUAUAGGUGUGCGCCACCAUGCCUAGCUGUCCUCCACAGUCUUUUAAAAUGUACUCCGCUAUUGUCUUCUUGAACUUCCUGGGUUUGUUUUGUUAAUUUCCAAAUCUUUAUAAACUACCUGGAAUUUAUUUGGGGGUGUGGUUUCAGUUAACUUUCCUUUUCCCCUAAAGAUAUUCAGUGAUACUGAUAACUUUUAUGAUAUAAUCAAUACUUUUCCCUACCAGCUUGAAAUACUGUCUUCAUUACAAACCAAAUUCUCCUAUAUUCAUGAGUCUAUCUGCAUUGAUCUGUCUUUUCCUGCACCGGGAAUGUGAUGUUUUAAUCACUACAGUUUUAUAUCAGGUAGAAGGAGUCUUUCUUUUUUCAUUAUUUUCUUGGCAAUCCUGUUUGUUUAUUCUAGAUAAACAUUAGAAUUAGUUUAAGCAGCCUCCCCCUGCAAAAAAUGUACUCUCUUGGCAUUUUGAUUAGACUUACAUUAAAAUUACAGAUUGAUUUUAGAAACCUUCACACCUUUACCAAUAUUUAGUCUUCCUUUCGAGGACCAUGGAAUGCAUCACCCCAUUUUUCAAGUCUUUUAUGUCCUUUAACAAGGUUUUAUUGUUUCUUCAUAAAUACCUUAUGUGUUUUGUUAAGUUUAUUUGCAAAUAUUUUAUUUUUAUGCCAACUGUGAAUAAGGGCUUCAUAGCAAUGAGGAACUCUGGAAAGACCAUUUUUUUGAUUUCUUAAAAUAUACUUUGUUUGGUUAUGAUUAUUUUAUUUGUCUGAGUAGCCUGUAUUUUCUCAGCCAAUUUUGGCUCUCCUGUUGGAGUGGUCUCUACUCUAGCUCCUUCUUCCUCUUUCUCCUCCUCCUCUUCCUCUUCUUCUUCUUUUUUUUUUUUUCUGGUACAAGAAAUCGAACUCAGGACUUUGUGCUUUCGAGGCAGGCAUGAUGCCACUGAGCUAAAUCCCCAGCAUGGUUGGCUUUGAUUCUUUUAAAGAAUGGUGUGAUUGUAUUUGCUAAUACUUUGUCAUUUAUUCCCAAGAAAGUUUGGGCUGUAGUAUUUUAUUUUAUUUAUUUUGUACCGGGGAUCGAACUUGGGACCUUGUGUUUGCAGGGCAACUGGCAGAACCACUGAGCUAAAUCCCCGGCCCUUUAUUUUUAAAGGACUUUCAUAAUAUUGCUUGCAAAGUCAGAAAGCAAAUUAAGGAAGUUUUGGUCUUCACUAUGGCACCAAAUUAUCCAAUACAGCAGGCUCUAACCAUGUGUGGUCUGUGAGCACUGAAAUGUGGCCGUGAAGAACUAAAUUUUAUUUACUUUUGAUUUUCUUACAUUUAAUUUUUUCUUGUCUGUUUGUCUUUUGAGACAAGAUCUUCUAUGUAGUUCAGACUGGCCUUGAACUCACUAUGUAACCCAGCCUAGUGUCAAACUUGCGGCAAUCCUCCUGCCUCAGCCACCUCAGUGCUGGGAUUACAAGCAUGUACUACUACGCCCAGUUUAAUUUUUAAAAAUGAUGUUCAAUUCCGUUACUGGAAAACCUUCACACGUGUUUGGGAAAUGGGAAUCUACUUUUCAGCUAUAAAUGUUAUAAAAUCCAAGUCUGCAAAGAUAAAUAUUUCUAUAAAAAUGUAUUGAGUUGAGAUAUCCUGUAAGUGUAAAAUACACAUAGAAGUUGGAAGACUUAUUGUGAAAUAAGAACAUGAAAUGUCCU
rnacentral:lncRNA from 1 species